ACACAUGCAAGUCGAACGGUGGAAGCCCUUGGCUUUUGUUGGGGGUGGAUGAGUGGCGAACGGGUGAGUAACACGUGAGUAACCUGCCCCUUUCUUCUGGAUACCGCCACGAAAGUGGUGUUAAUACGGGAUAUUCUGGCUCUGUCGCAUGGUGGGGUUGGGAAGGGUCUUUUCUGGUGGGGGAUGGGCUCGCGGCCUAUCAGCUUGUUGGUGGGGUGAUGGCCUACCAAGGCGUUGACGGGUAGCCGGCCUGAGAGGGUGGACGGCCACACUGGGACUGAGACACGGCCCAGACUCCUACGGGAGGCAGCAGUGGGGAAUAUUGCACAAUGGGCGGAAGCCUGAUGCAGCGACGCCGCGUGAGGGAUGGAGGCCUUCGGGUUGUGAACCUCUUUCGCCAGUGAAGCAGGCCCGCCCCUUGUGGGUGGGUUGACGGUAGCUGGAUAACAAGCGCCGGCUAACUACGUGCCACCAGCCGCGGUAAUACGUAGGGCGCGAGCGUUGUCCGGAAUUAUUGGGCGUAAAGGGCUUGUAGGCGGCUGGUCGCGUCUGCCGUGAAAUCCCCUGNCUUAACUGGNGGCGUGCGGUGGGUACNGACCNCCUUGAGUGCGGUAGGGGAGACUGGAAUUCCUGGUGUANCGGUGGAAUGCNCANAUAUCAGGAGGAACACCGGUGGCNAAGGCGGGUCUCUGGGCCGUUACUGACGCUGA
rnacentral:rRNA from 1 species